UACGAAGGGGCUAGCGUUGCUCGGAAUCACUGGGCGUAAAGGGUGCGUAGGCGGGUCUUUAAGUCAGGGGUGAAAUCCUGGAGCUCAACUCCAGAACUGCCUUUGAUACUGAAGAUCUUGAGUUCGGGAGAGGUGAGUGGAACUGCGAGUGUAGAGGUGAAAUUCGUAGAUAUUCGCAAGAACACCAGUGGCGAAGGCGGCUCACUGGCCCGAUACUGACGCUGAUGCACGAAAGCGUGGGGAGCAAACAGG
rnacentral:rRNA from 1 species